rnacentral:rRNA from 1 species
AUUGAACGCUGGCGGCAGGCUUAACACAUGCAAGUCGAGCGGAUGAGCGGGGCUUGCUCUUGGAUCCAGCGGCGGACGGGUGAGUAAUGCCUAGGAAUCUGCCCGGUAGUGGGGGAUAACGUCCGGAAACGGGCGCUAAUACCGCAUACGUCCUGAGGGAGAAAGCGGGGGAUCUUCGGACCUCACGCUAUCAGAUGAGCCUAGGUCGGAUUAGCUAGUUGGUGGGGUAAAGGCCUACCAAGGCGACGAUCCGUAACUGGUCUGAGAGGAUGACCAGGCACACGGGGACUUAAACGGCGUCCAGAAUCCUACGGGGGGCAGAAGUGGGGGAUUUUGGGAAAAGGGGCGAAGCCCGACCCAGUAAAGCCGCGGGGGGGAGAGAGGUUUUCGGGUUGGAAAGCCCAUUUAGCUGGGACGAAAGGGAAGUAGCAAAAAACAUGGUUGGUUGAAGGUAACCGACAGAAAAAGCCCGGCUAACUUUGGU